rnacentral:rRNA from 1 species
CCCGCCGCGACCGGCGCACGGGUGAGUAACACGUAUGGAACCUGCCCGCAGCAGGGGGAUAAGCGGAAGAAAUUCCGUCUAAUACCGCGUAACACCGCGGAGGGGCAUCCCUCGGCGGUUAAAGAUUCAUCGGCUGCGGAUGGCCAUGCGGCGCAUUAGCUAGUCGGCGGGGUAACGGCCCACCGAGGCGACGAUGCGUAGGGGUUCUGAGAGGAAGGUCCCCCACACUGGUACUGAGACACGGACCAGACUCCUACGGGAGGCAGCAG